ACUCCAGAUGUGCCUCACAGCACUGAGCAGAGGGCAGGAUCACCUCCCUGACCUGCUUCCUAAUGCACUCCAGGAUUCUGUUGCCCUCCUUGGCCCCCAGGACACACUGCUGGCUCAGGGGCAGCUGGUUGUCCACCAGGACCUUCUCUUCAUUCCACCCCCACAGUAACACAUCUUCAGAUGGAUUUUAGGGAACAACUCGAGUGCUCUGGAGGAAUUUUGGGGCUCUGUUAUGAAAGGAAUUGCCCUAAGAUCCAUCCUGAUGGAGGCCAAGACCAGGGCACUGUCCCUCUCCUUCACUGAGGCUCGAUCUGGGUCACCUCACCCAGCAGGAAUCAUUCCCCAAAUCCCCAUCACUGACACCUUCCUUAGGUACUGAUCCACCUGAAGGACUGAAAUAUGGAUUUACAACAAAAUUGAGCAGAUCCUACAAAAUCAGUUAGGCUGGAGAAGACCUCUGAGAUCUAGUCCAACUUCUAAUCCCAAACGAACCCAAGUGUUCCAUCAGAGGUCAGGAGGCACAAUGGCCCAAGAUGAUCUUGUCCUAAUUUUAUUCUUCAUCAGAAACGUACCAAACUAAUUAAAAUCCAUCAAAAUGAGUAAACCAACACCUGGUGGCCCAAGUCCCCCUCGUGUGGCACAGCCCGACGUCCUGGUGGCUGGGCAGGCACAGGGCUGUGACCUGUGAUGAAAAGGAGCCCAAUGUCCCAAGAGAAGGGCAAUAUUUCUGGGAAUCACUAUAAAAUAAGUUUUCCCAUCUACGUCUGUAGAAACAUUUCAGUACAUUAGUCAGCACUCCCUUUAAAAAAUAAAAUAGGUUGUUCUGUUGGAAAAUCCAUUUCUCCUUUAGCACAGUUACUCGUUUGUCAUUUACAAUACAGUAAAUUUAGCUCUUAACAUUGUCAUCAUUGCUAUAAAGGAAUAAAAAAUAAUUUAAAUACUUGUAUCCAUUUUUAGACAUGAGGCCGACCACAAAGAACAGGCAAAAGAGAAUCCAGACCUGAAAAAUAAUAAGUCUGAUAAAGGAAAUUGGAAAAAAAUGCGGAGUUAAAUUGAGUGGUUGACAUUCCACAAGUCAAUAAAGGAAUUGCCUGCACUAAAAGGCAGCUACAAAGUGCUGUGUGAAGAGAGAAGGAAAUAUCCAGGAUAUUCCCACUGUCCAUGGAGCAGCUGGAGCAGGAAAGUAACUCAUGGAGGUAACUCAUGAAGAUGGAGAAGGAGGCACAAAAACACUUCAAGUGACUGUGCCCAGAGCCAAACAUUUUCUUUUAAAGUGGAACCUGACGGCUUUUAAUUCGCCAUAACACUGCUCCUAAGUGUUAGGAAUGAUGGAUUAUCUCAGGAACAGCCUGGUUGGGAACUUCUUCUCAGGUUCCAUCCUGUAACUCAGUGGUCUGUGAGUAAAUAAUAAAGAGAUGGAGGAGGUAAGAACUAUAACUUGCAAAGUGAGUAACUAUUCCAAGGAAAUCAUUACACUGGGCCAUACUGUAAUGGGCUAUUUUGGGACUCGUGGUCUUUGCAGUACAAUUUAUGACCUUUGUUGCCUAAGGCAUCAUUAGCAAAUCUCUGUGGUUGUAUUUAAAGGCAGCAAAAUGAGAGUAAAUAUUAAAACAAACCACCCCAAAUUGAAGCCAAAUUCUUGAAUAACAACUGAGAACAAAGGAAAAGAAGAUCAAACAAAUAUUUUAAGUACAGUUCUCUUCAAUGAAUGGCCUAAGGGAACCUCUGGGUUCUUUCUCCUAAAUCAAUGCCCUCCCUGCUUUAAAUCACCAUUCUUCCCUCAUAGGCUUUAUUUUUCUUCAUUCAACUUCAAAUUUAGUCAUAACUUAUUGGCACAAUAGCAAUUUUGCUAUUUCAAAAAAAUUCAAAUGUUUCUUGGAUUUCUGGCAAAAGCAAGUACAGCCCCACAUUUCUACCCAAAGUAUUUUUAUUGGCCAGCCCAAUAAUGUGCUGCAAAGGGUAGUUUCAAACCAUUCUGUCUCAGAUUCCCUAAAAGGGCCAGUUUUCUAGGAAAUGGAAACUGAUAGUGAUAGUUCACAGGGAGUUGUAAAAUCAUUUCACAUUAAAAUAUAGGGAAAUUAUAAUAAUGGGUUAAAGCAUUCCUUAGGGUAAAUAAAUACAUCUCAAUUACUAUCUCAUUUACAACUCCUUGGAUCUGGCUAAUUAUAAACUUGGAGAAAAUUUGCUGUGAAAACUGAGUAGCUGGGAUGUCCUGGGAGUGAGCAGCAAUUAGUUUGGAUAAGAUAAACCAGUACAUGACUUAUCCCUGCCAGCAGAGGUUGGAAUUUCAAACACCCCCACAAUAUUUUGUCCUUAAAAAUGCUGUAACUUAUUAAAUACGGAAAAACUUGUUAAAUAUGGAAAACUGGCCUAAAGGAGGGAAUGCAAGUGAAACCUUCCCAAAAAAUAUAUGAGAUUUUCAAAUGUUCUGCCCUUCAGUUAUAAAAAGGUUUCCAUAGAGACUGUCAUCCAAUAUGCCUUUUUGCCAUAAACACACUCACUGAAGUGUCUGACUUCUCCAUGUUCAUGGGAGCAAAAUAAAUCCAUCCCCUUCCUGUUUUCCAGGUUCCCUGGCUGAGGUUACGGCAGCAACCCAUUUUGCCUUGUUUUUGGAGAUUUCCUUGAUUCUGCUGCAAUGGAAAUAAACACACUUAACGAGACUUACCUGGUUGGAAUCAACAUCAGCACUGGAACAGACCAAGCCAAAGGUGUGUUCUUCUUUCUCUCAGUUUGUAUUUUCUAUGCAUGACAUAAAUUGCAAC